GAGUGUGUGACUGCCCGCUGUCCCAAGGAAGACAAUUUGCAUAGAAAAGACACUUUGCAUUGGCAGCACAUGCUUCAGUGCACUGGGAGUGUUUAUAGCCCUGUGAGUUUAACACCUCAUGAUUGAGAGCUGCCCUCCAUGUCAACACAAUCUGAAACAACAAUGAGUUUUAUAAUUCACUUCAUCUGCUCGCUGAUAAUCUUCACUCACGAUUCCAGUGGACAGACUUUGACUCAGUCUCCAUCAGCUAAAUCUGUUGUCCCUGGAGAUACUGUCACUAUCAACUGCAAAGCCAGCAGCUCUGUGAACAGCUACCUAGUCUGGUACCUGCAGACACCUGGAGAAGCUCCUAAACUCCUGAUCUAUAGUGCAAGCACCCUUGAAUCUGGGAUCCCAGCUCGUUUCAGUGGCAGUGGAUCUGGGACUGACUACACUCUGACCAUCAGCGGUGUCCAGGCUGAAGAUGCAGGAGAUUACUACUGUCAGCAGGGUUACAGCACCCCUCUCACACAGUGAUACAUGUCCGUACAAAAACCUCCCUCAGCUUGACUGCACAGCGACUGCACUGCUGCAGCUGGACCUACUGCAGGUGCUGAGGGAGAAGACAGUGACAGUUGCUCAAGGACUGGAACAGAAAAAAAGAACUUCAUAAAACCAUGACACCCAGCAAGAGUUAUGUAUAUUUAUUUUUAAAUUAGACGCUUACAUAUUUAAAAUCACCAUUACAGAUCAUACAUGCUAAACCUGCUCCCCAGUCCAUUAUUAACAUAUAAGUAAUAAACUCCCUUUGUUCCAAUAUGAGUGAGAGUUCAACACGACUCUGAAAUACCUGGGAGUGAUUGCAGCUCCCACAAGGUGCGCUGGACACUCACAGUGCCGGGGUGUGGCAGGGAGGCUCAGUUAAACAAUCUGAAUACAUUUAACACGUCCAGAAUACACCGACCCCAAGUUAUCAACAGACAAGUCACCAAAGAGAUGCAUACAAUACAAUGCAAUACAAUACA